GACGAACGCUGGCGGCGUGCUUAACACAUGCAAGUCGAACGGAAAGGCCCUGCUUGCAGGGUACUCGAGUGGCGAACGGGUGAGUCACGCGUGGGUGAUCUGCCCUGCACUUCGGGAUAAGCCUGGGAAACUGGGUCUAAUACCGGAUAGGCUCCUGUUUUAGUGUGAUGGUUGGAAAGUUUUUUCGGUGUAGGAUGAGCUCGCGGCCUAUCAGCUUGUUGGUGGGGUAAUGGCCUACCAAGGCGGCGACGGGUAGCCGGCCUGAGAGGGUGGACGGCCACAUUGGGACUGAGAUACGGCCCAGACUCCUACGGGAGGCAGCAGUGGGGAAUAUUGCACAAUGGGCGCAAGCCUGAUGCAGCGACGCCGCGUGGGGGAUGACGGCCUUCGGGUUGUAAACUGCUUUCGCUAGGGACGAAGCUUUUUGUGACGGUACCUAGAUAAGAAGCACCGGCUAACUACGUG
rnacentral:rRNA from 1 species